rnacentral:rRNA from 1 species
CCAGAGAACUUAGCAGAGAUGCUUUGGUGCCUUCGGGGAACUCUGAGACAGGUGCUGCAUGGCUGUCGUCAGCUCGUGUUGUGAAAUGUUGGGUUAAGUCCCGCAACGAGCGCAACCCUUAUCCUUUGUUGCCAGCGGUCCGGCCGGGAACUCAAAGGAGACUGCCAGUGAUAAACUGGAGGAAGGUGGGGAUGACGUCAAGUCAUCAUGGCCCUUACGAGUAGGGCUACACACGUGCUACAAUGGCGCAUACAAAGAGAAGCGACCUCGCGAGAGCAAGCGGACCUCAUAAAGUGCGUCGUAGUCCGGAUUGGAGUCUGCAACUCGACUCCAUGAAGUCGGAAUCGCUAGUAAUCGUAGAUCAGAAUGCUACGGUGAAUACGUUCCCGGGCCUUGUACACACCGCCCGUCACACCAUGGGAGUGGGUUGCAAAAGAAGUAGGUAGCUUAACCUUCGGGAGGGCGCUUACCACUUUGUGAUUCAUGACUGGGGUGAAGUCGUAACAAGGUAGGCGUAGACGU